GUGAAGAACGUAGCGAAAUGCGAUAAUUAAUGUGAAUUGCAGAAUUCCGUGAAUCAUCGAGUCUUUGAACGCACAUUGCGCCUCAUGGCAUUCCGUGAGGCAUGCCCAUCUCAGCGUUAGAAAAUAUUCUCAAAUUUUAGUUUUGUGCUAAAAUUUGGAUCAUGUCAAGGAAGCUAUUACUAUUAUUGUGAUCGCUCUUUGGAAAUUGAUAGGUCUUUGAGUUGCUACUCAUAGAACGUGAUGAAUCUUUCUUCGUUCUAUUGUAAUUCACUCUGGUAGUCCUAAAACUUGUAUGCCUGUGGCAUAUCUUGUAAUUUGACCUGAGAUUGGGUAGGGAUACCCGCUGAACUUAAGCAUAUCAAUAAUCGGAGGA
rnacentral:misc_RNA from 1 species